GUCCUCGUAGCUUAAGCAAAGCAUGACGCUGAAGACGUCAAGACGGCUGCUAAACACACCCGAGGACA
rnacentral:tRNA from 1 species